GACGGAGGGUGCAAGCGUUAAUCGGAAUUAUUGGGCGUAAAGGGCGCGUAGGCGGUUUUGUAAGUAGGCUGUGAAAUCUCCGGGCUUAACCCGGAAACUGCCAUUGAUACUAUCAGUCUUGAAUACCGUGGAGGUAAGCGGAAUAUGUCAUGUAGCGGUGAAAUGCUUAGAUAUGACAUAGAACACCAAUUGCGAAGGCAGCUUACUACCCGAAUAUUGACACUGAGGCACGAAAGCGUGGGGAUCAAACAGG
rnacentral:rRNA from 1 species